UACGUAGGGACCAAGCGUUGUUCGGAUUUACUGGGCGUAAAGGGCGCGUAGGCGGCAAUUCAAGUCAUCUGUGAAGUCUCCGGGCUUAACCCGGAACGGUCAGAUGAUACUGCUUUGCUAGAGUGCGGAAGGGGCAAUCGGAAUUCUUGGUGUAGCGGUGAAAUGCGUAGAUAUCAAGAGGAACACCUGAGGUGAAGACGGGUUGCUGGGCCGACACUGACGCUGACAGCGCGAAAGCCAGGGGAGCAAACGGG
rnacentral:rRNA from 1 species